GCUUGGUUGGCUCAGUUGGUUAGAGCGCCGGUCUCAUACUAUGAUCUGAGGGAUGAUGCAUCCCGUAAUCCGGAGAUCAUGAGUUCGACCCUCAUACCGAGCA
rfam:Fibulorhizoctonia sp. CBS 109695 unplaced genomic scaffold FIBSPscaffold_7, whole genome shotgun sequence.